UAGUCCACGCCGUAAACGAUGUCAACUAGCCGUUGGGGGAAUUUAAUCCUUUAGUGGCGCAGCUAACGCAUUAAGUUGACCGCCUGGGGAGUACGCGCGCAAGCGUAAAACUCAAAGGAAUUGACGGGGCCCGCACAAGCGGUGGAGCAUGUGGUUUAAUUCGAUGCAACGCGAAGAACCUUACCUGCCCUUGACAUACUCGGAACUUUCCAGAGAUGGAUUGGUGCCUUCGGGAAUCGAGAUACAGGUGCUGCAUGGCUGUCGUCAGCUCGUGUCGUGAGAUGUUGGGUUAAGUCCCGCAACGAGCGCAACCCUUGUCCUUAGUUGCCAGCACGUAAAGGUGGGAACUCUAGGGAGACUGCCGGUGACAAACCGGGAGGAAGGUGGGGACGACGUCAAGGUCAUCACGGGCCCUUAUGGGGCAGGGGCUACACACGUGCUACAA
rnacentral:rRNA from 1 species